CACUCCUUCCCAUCCCGAACAGGACAGUGAAACGACUUCGCGCCGAUGAUAGUGCGGGUUCCCGUGUGAAAGUAGGUCAUCGUCAGGC
rnacentral:rRNA from 1 species